GACUUAAGCAUAUCAAUAAGCGGAGGAAAAGAAACCAACAGGGAUUGCCCCAGUAACGGCGAGUGAAGCGGCAACAGCUCAAAUUUGAAAUCUGGUCCCCCGGCGGGGGCCCGAGUUGUACUUUGCAGAGGGAGCUUUGGCGAAGGCAGCGAUCCAAGUUCCUUGGGACAGGACGUCGUGGAGGGUGAGAAUCCCGUUCGCGGUCGCCCGCCGCCGCCGUGUAAAGCCCCUUCGACGAGUCGAGUUGUUUGGGAAUGCAGCUCUAAACGGGAGGUAAAUUCCUCCUAAGGCUAAAUACCGGCCAGAGACCGAUAGCGCACAAGUAGAGUGAUCGAAAGAUGAAAAGCACUUUGGAAAGAGAGUCAAACAGCACGUGAAAUUGUUGAAAGGGAAGCGCUUGCAGCCAGACGUGCCCGCGGUCGUCCGCGACCGUGGGCAGGCCAGCAUCGGUUCGGGCGGUCGGACAACGGCCUCUGACACGUAUCUCUCCCGCGGGAGAUAACCUACAGGGGAGGCGACCCACGACCAGCCCGGACCGAGGUCCGCGCAUCCGCCAGGAUGCUGGCGUAAUGGUGGCAAGCGGCCCGUCUUGAAACACGGACCAAGGAGUCUAACACCUGUGCGAGUGUUUGGGUGGCAAGCCCGGACGCGCAAUGAAAGUGAACGGAGGUGGGAACCCCCUCCCGGGGGUGCACCAUCGACCGAUCCUGAAGUUCACGGAUGGAUUUGAGUACGAGCACGGUUGUUGGGACCCGAAAGAUGGUGAACUAUGCUUGAAUAGGGUGAAGCCAGAGGAAACUCUGGUGGAGGCUCGCAGCGGUUCUGACGUGCAAAUCGAUCGUCAAAUUUGGGCAUAGGGGCGAAAGACUAAUCG
rnacentral:rRNA from 1 species